UGUUAAAGCCAUGAUGGGCUCUCCCCAACA
rnacentral:piRNA from 1 species